UGGGGAAUAUUGCACAAUGGGCGAAAGCCUGAUGCAGCAACGCCGCGUGAGUGAUGAAGGCCUUCGGGUUGUAAAGCUCUGUCUUUUGGGACGAUAAUGACGGUACCAAAGGAGGAAGCCACGGCUAACUACGUGCCAACAGCCGCGGUAAUACGUAGGUGGCAAGCGUUGUCCGGAUUUACUGGGCGUAAAGGAUGCGUAGGCGGAUUUUUAAGUGAGAUGUGAAAACCCUAAGCUUAACUUGGGGACUGCAUUUCAUACUGGAAAUCUAGAGUGCGGGAGAGGAGAAUGGAAUUCCUAGUGUAGCGGUGAAAUGCGUAGAGAUUAGGAAGAACACCAGUGGCGAAGGCGAUUCUCUGGACCGUAACUGACGCUGAGGCAUGAAAGCGUGGGUAGCAAACAGGAUUAGAUACCCUGGUAGUCCACGCCGUAAACGAUGAGUACUAGGUGUAGGAGGUAUCGACCCCUUCUGUGCCGCAGUUAACACAAUAAGUACUCCGCCUGGGAAGUACGAUCGCAAGAUUAAAACUCAAAGGAAUUGACGGGGUCAUAGCUGUUUUCCU
rnacentral:rRNA from 1 species